rnacentral:rRNA from 1 species
UACGUAGGUGGCAAGCGUUGUCCGGAUUUACUGGGCGUAAAGAGCGCGCAGGCGGUCGUUCAAGUCGCGUGUGAAAGCCCCCGGCUCAACUGGGGAGGGUCACGCGAUACUGAUCGACUCGAAGGCAAGAGAGGGUAGUGGAAUUCCACGUGUAGCAGUGAAAUGCGUAGAGAUGUGGAGGAACACCGAUGGCGAAGGCAGCCCCCUGGGCCAACACUGACGCUCAGGCACGAAAGCGUGGGGAGCAAACAGG